GACACCUCAUUUGGUAACCUUUACAGUCAGUCAGCUGUCUAAACAGUUUCUCUCUUAGAGAUUCUUAUAGAUACGUGAGUCAAGAGUAAUAUGCUAACUGGUGAUUAUGGCCUGAAAGAAAUAAUGACAGCAGUCCAAUACAGUGGAAAAGCUGAAAAAAAUAAACAGCUAAAAGUUCCACAUGGAUCAAAGUUAUCAACAUAAAACCAGAAUGAGCAUUUGUAUUGGACAAGGGCUGAACAAGAAUGCCAAUAUCCAUGCUAAAAUGGACAGACGAAAUCCCAGGAGCCUUUAACCUUACACAAAGAACUACCAGCAACAAUGGAAUGCUGAGAGUGGGAGAAACAGUCUUGUGAAUUCUUAAUCAAUUACCCAUUGGGUUUUCUUUAAGAAAUCUAUACUGCUCAGCAUGCAGGAGGUAAUUCGUACAGUAAAUACGUUGGAAGGUUGCCUGUUUACCCAUUGCAACAAAGUUGUUCAUUGUCAUGAUUCAAUCAGGAAGUAAUUGGAAAAUUCAUAAGGACAACAACAACAACAAAACAACAACAAUGUAAUAGCUUUUGCGGGAAAAUAAAAGAAUAUGUAGAAUUCUUCAAUAGAA